GCAUAUCAAUAAGCGGAGGAAAAGAAACCAACAGGGAUUGCCCUAGUAACGGCGAGUGAAGCGGCAACAGCUCAAAUUUGAAAUCUGGCUUCGGCCCGAGUUGUAAUUUGUAGAGGAAACUUUUGGUGAGGCACCUUCUGAGUCCCUUGGAACAGGGCGCCAUAGAGGGUGAGAGCCCCGUAUAGUCGGAUGCCGAUCCAAUGUAAAGUUCCUUCGACGAGUCGAGUAGUUUGGGAAUGCUGCUCAAAAUGGGAGGUAAAUUUCUUCUAAAGCUAAAUAUAGGCCAGAGACCGAUAGCGCACAAGUAGAGUGAUCGAAAGAUGAAAAGCACUUUGAAAAGAGGGUUAAAUAGCACGUGAAAUUGUUGAAAGGGAAGCGUUUGUGACCAGACUUGCGCCGUUCCGAUCAUCCGGUGUUCUCACCGGUGCACUCGGGGCGGCUCAGGCCAGCAUCGGUUUUGGUGGGGGGAUAAAGGUCCAGGGAACGUAGCUCCUCCGGGAGUGUUAUAGCCCUGGGCGUAAUGCCCUCGCUGGGACCGAGGUUCGCGCAUCUGCAAGGAUGCUGGCGUAAUGGUCAUCAACGACCCGUCUUGAAACACGGACCAAGGAGUCAAGGUUUUGCGCGAGUGUUUGGGUGUAAAACCCGCACGCGUAAUGAAAGUGAACGUAGGUGAGAGCUUCGGCGCAUCAUCGACCGAUCCUGAUGUAUUCGGAUGGAUUUGAGUAAGAGCGUUAAGCCUUGGACCCGAAAGAUGGUGAACUAUGCUUGGAUAGGGUGAAGCCAGAGGAAACUCUGGUGGAGGCUCGCAGCGGUUCUGACGUGCAAAUCGAUCGUCAAAUCUGAGCAUGGGGGCGAAAGACUAAUCGAACCAUCUAGUAGCUGGUACCGC
rnacentral:rRNA from 1 species